rnacentral:rRNA from 1 species
GAAACCCAGGCUAAUACCGCAUACGCCCUUCGGGGGAAAGGCUUCGGCCGCUAUUAGAUGAGCCUAUGUCUGAUUAGCUUGUUGGUGGGGUAAUGGCCUACCAAGGCGACGAUCAGUAGCUGGUCUGAGAGGACGAUCAGCCACACUGGGACUGAGACACGGCCCAGACUCCUACGGGAGGCAGCAGUGGGGAAUAUUGGACAAUGGGCGAAAGCCUGAUCCAGCAAUGCCGCGUGUGUGAAGAAGGCCUGCGGGUUGUAAAGCACUUUCAGUAGGGAAGAUAAUGACGGUACCUACAGAAGAAGCACCGGCUAACUCUGUGCCAGCAGCCGCGGUAAUACAGAGGGCGCAAGCGUUAAUCGGAAUUACUGGGCGUAAAGCGCGCGUAGGCGGUUUGUUAAGUCGGAUGUGAAAGCCCCGGGCUCAACCUGGGAACUGCAUUCGAUACUGGCAGGCUAGAGUAUGGUAGAGGGAAGUGGAAUUCCGGGUGUAGCGGUGAAAUGCGUAGAUAUCCGGAGGAACAUCAGUGGCGAAGGCGGCUUCCUGGACCAAUACUGACGCUGAGGUGCGAAAGCGUGGGGAG